rnacentral:rRNA from 1 species
GGGAAACUCACCAGGUCCAGACAUAAUAAGGAUUGACAGAUUGAUAGCUCUUUCUUGAUUUUAUGGGUGGUGGUGCAUGGCCGUUCUUAGUUCGUGGAGUGAUUUGUCUGCUUAAUUGCGUUAACGAACGAGACCUUAACCUGCUAAAUAGAAUUUUCCAUUCUCGGAUGGAGAACUUUCUUCUUAGAGGGACUGUAUGCGUUUCAGCAUGCGGAAGUUUGAGGCUAAAA